rnacentral:rRNA from 1 species
UAGCCGCGUGCAAGCGAAGGAGGAGUCACAUAGGAAAAACCGUGUGGCAAUCCAAAGGCGUGAUGCGGACCGAACUAGAGUAGGGAAGUGUGUGAGCCAUGAAUCAAGAAAAGCCGCUAUUGUUUUUAAGAUACCCGUACCGUAAACCGACACAGGUGGAUGAGGAGAGAAUCCUAAGGCCGGCGGAAGAAGCAUUGUUAAGGAACUCGGCAAAAUGACCCCGUAACUUCGGGAGAAGGGGUGCCAACGAGAGUUGGCCGCAGAGAAUAGGCUCAAGCAACUGUUUAGCAAAAACACAGGUCUAUGCAAAACCGUAAGGUGAGGUAUAUGGGCUGACGCCUGCCCGGUGCUGGAAGGUUAAGAGGAGAGGUUAGCGCAAGCGAAGCUUUGAAUUUAAGCCCCAGUAAACGGCGGCCGUAACUAUAACGGUCCUAAGGUAGCGAAAUUCCUUGUCGGGUAAGUUCCGACCCGCACGAAAGGCGUAAUGAUUUGAGCGCUGUCUCGACAAUGCAUCCGGUGAAAUUGAAGUACCAGUGAAGAUGCUGGUUACCCGCGCCAGGACGGAAAGACCCCAUGGAGCUUUACUCCAGUUUGGUACUGGGGUCCGGCAGUGCAUGUACAGGAUAGGUGGGAGGCUGUGAACCUGGAACGCCAGUUUCAGGGGAGCCAUUGUUGGGAUACCACCCUUGUGCUGCUGGGCUUCUAACCAGCGGCCUUUAUCAGGCCGGGGGACAAUGCCAGACGGGGAGUUUGACUGGGGCGGUCGCCUCCGAAAGGGUAUCGGAGGCGCUCAAAGGUUCCCUCAGAAUGGUCGGAAACCAUUCGAAGAGUGCAAAGGCAGAAGGGAGCUUGACUGCGACACCGACGGGUGGAGCAGGUACGAAAGUAGGACUUAGUGAUCCGGUGGUAUUAAGUGGGAAUGCCAUCGCUCAACGGAUAAAAGCUACCCUGGGAUAACAGGCUUAUCACUCCCAAGAGUUCACAUCGACGGAGUGGUUUGGCACCUUGAUGUCGGCUCAUCGCAUCCUGGGGCUGUAGUAGGUCCCAAGGGUUGGGCUGUUCGCCCAUUAAAGCGGUACGCGAGCUGGGUUCAGAACGUCGUGAGACAGUUCGGUCCCUAUCCGGCGUGGGCGUAGGAUAUUUGAGAGGAGCUGUCCUUAGUACGAGAGGACCGGGAUGGACUGACCUCUGGUGUACCGGUUGAACCGCCAGGUUCACGGCCGGGUAGCCAAGUCGGGAAGGGAUAAACGCUGAAGGCAUCUAAGCGUGAAGCCCCCCUCAAGAUGAGAUAUCCCAUUCGAAAGAAGUAAGACCCCUUGAAGACGACGAGGUAGAUAGGGCAGAGGUGGAAGUGCCGUAAGGCAUGGAGCUGACUGUUACUAAU